GAAAUGCGAUACGUAGUGCGAAUUGCAGAAUUCAGUGAAUCAUCAAAUUCUUGAACGCAAAUUGCGCUUCCGGGAUAGACCUGGGAGCACGCUUCUUUGAGUAUCGGCUCACCAUCAAUCGGCAGCGUUGCCAAAAGCAACGCAGCUGGAGCUGAGUGUCACUGCCGAGUGUGCUAUUCGUGGCUGUGUCACUUGAAGUACAGAGCGCGAGUGCGAAAGGUUCAUCUUGAAUCAUCGACAUCGGGACAAACAAUGGGUACACACAUCCCAACACUUGCUUGUCAUCUAAACCGUUGUCAAUGGUUUUGAACCUGGCACAUGCGAAUUGGAAUUAACGAAAGCUUGACUUUCACAGAAAUGAUCUCAGAUGAAGCGAGAAAACCCGCCGGACUUAA
rnacentral:misc_RNA from 1 species